rnacentral:misc_RNA from 1 species
GCAAACUUGGUCAUUUAGAGGAAGUAAAAGUCGUAACAAGGUUUCCGUAGGUGAACCUGCGGAAGGAUCAUUAUUGAAUUUAAAAAAAGGAUGUGCUGGUAGUCUGUUUGAUUGCAUUGUGCACUCCAAACAUCCAAAUCCAUUAACCUGUGCAUUUGAAGUAGAGAUCUUUUGUUGACAAAAGACUCUAUGAUUUUUUAUGAGCACAAUUUCUGUUGAUAAAAAUGCUUUUAUGCAUGUAAAUUUAACAACUUUCAACAAUGGAUCUCUUGGUUCUCGCAUCGAUGAAGAACGCAGC